UUGCUGUUUGUUUUCUCUUCAAAUGCGCCAUAAAUAUCAACAGAUGCAUUUAAUACUACGGCCAGCACAUACUCGAGUUUGGUCGCGCUUUUCUACCCUGUCGGGAGAGAUACGACGUUGUGUUUCUACUUUCUAGUCGAGAUCUGACAGUUAAAGUUAUGUAUCCAGCACAACGAAUAAACGCCUGCCCAGUGCUUGCUGGCAUCAGAGCAAAUGCUUAUAUGGAGCCAUUUUUAAAACUGAGUAUUCAGAUGUGGCGAUUUUCAAGGUUUCACUUCGACUGGAAUUGGUUGCAACUUAUCACUUUUGGCUAGAAGAUGGUUGAUAGCUUUGGUGACAGCAGCUGGAAGACCCUCGGGAUUCUCAACUCUACAAAUAAAUUUGGGAAUAUAGAUUACAGAGUCGAAAAGAGCUAUGCCAGUAGCAGCACAAAGUAUUACAGAACUCACUUGAACGUGCACUCGAUGUAUCGUGUAAUGAGUUCCUCCGUGAUACCAGCUUCAUUUGGAGCAUCUCCCACUUCCCUGAUGGCAAACUUCACCGCUCGACGCACUUCAGAAUCGCUCUUAACCGUGAAUUUACGCAGCUUACGGAGAUUCUCCGUAUCUUUGUAGGACUCUUUACCGUUACUGUACACCAUGAACAUGUGUCCAUCCCGGAUGGCAUACUGCAGCUGCUGUUGGACGAAGCCAGAUCUGGUCCCCUUCCGGACAUGUUUGAGUGCCUGGCAGAGACGGUCGAAACUGGGCCGUUGUUUCUGGCCUUUAAUCUUGCCAAUGGCUUCUUUGAAGAGCGCCAGGAACUCGUGAUCGACAUGUCCGUCGCCUAUGCCCUCCUCCGAUAUGACAAUGGAGCUCCCCGAUGCAGCUGCUGAUGCAGGUGACGGAAUAGGCGAGGGGGAUGGUGAACGGGAUGAGGAUGAUUCGGAAGAAGUCAUCGCAUUGUUCACCACAUACGCGAGCAGCGCUGUGGAGCAGUCCGUAUCGACAUUGCCCCCGCGGAUAGCUGUCUGCGCUGUCCUCACGGAUUACUUUCAAGUUCACCAAAGGGAUAACUACUUAUUGAGUGUCUAUGAAGUUUCCUCUUUUAGGGCAAUCACAACAUAAUCAACAAUCUCACGUUCAGCAGUUCGUGAUUAUCCUCAGUUAUGUGCAAAAGAAAGACCCAUCAUCAAGUUGUAUCUUGAAUAAAGGCAAAGGCCCCGAAAUAGGAAUACUUCACUUUACAAAUUCAACCCAUUUCUAUAAACGUAGAGAAACAGUUUU